rnacentral:rRNA from 1 species
UACGUAGGGGGCAAGCGUUGUCCGGAUUUAUUGGGCGUAAAGAGCGUGUAGGCGGUUAGGUAGGUCCGUUGUGAAAACUCGAGGCUCAACCUCGAGACGCCGAUGGAAACCAUCUGACUAGAGUCCGGAAGAGGAGAGUGGAAUUCCUGGUGUAGCGGUGAAAUGCGCAGAUAUCAGGAAGAACACCCGUGGCUAAGGCGGUCUCUAGUACGUGACUGACGCUGAGACGCGAAAGCGUGGGAGAGC